UGCCUAACCCUUAUAACCUAAAGGAUAUAAGGUAUGGCUCAUAUCCACUGCGACAUAGAGACGGCGUCUCUACCUACCACAUGUCGCAGUGGUCCUAUCCGCGAGGAUAGGAGGUGGUACCCGAAAGGGUGUCAUC
rnacentral:sRNA from 12 species